rnacentral:rRNA from 1 species
UACGUAGGGGGCAAGCGUUGUCCGGAAUCAUUGGGCGUAAAGAGCGCGUAGGCGGCCCAGUCAGUCCGCUCUGAAAGUCAGGGGCUCAACCCCUGAAUGCGGGUGGAUACUGCUGGGCUAGAGUCCGGAAGAGGCGAGUGGAAUUCCUGGUGUAGCGGUGAAAUGCGCAGAUAUCAGGAGGAACACCGAUGGCGAAGGCGGCAUCCUGGACCGACAUUGACGCUGAUGAGCGAAAGCUAGGGGAGCAAACGGG